UACGUAGGGGGCAAGCGUUGUCCGGAAUCAUUGGGCGUAAAGGGCGCGUAGGCGGCCUUCUAAGUCAGACGUGAAAUCCCUCGGCUCAACCGGGGAACUGCGUCUGAGACUGAAAGGCUUGAAUCCGGGAGAGGAAUGCGGAAUUCCAGGUGUAGCGGUGAAAUGCGUAGAUAUCUGGAGGAACACCGGUGGCGAAGGCGGCAUUCUGGACCGGCAUUGACGCUGAGGCGCGAAAGCCAGGGGAGCAAACGGG
rnacentral:rRNA from 1 species